rnacentral:lncRNA from 1 species
GCAGUAAUGUUCGUAAAAUAGUUUAUAGACUUUAUGAAUACUUUAUAAUUUAUAUAAUUUGGUAAGCGAAGAGCCACUCUGUGGAUAUAUUACCAAUAAAUCAUUAUUAUUAUUAUUAUAUACAGUGGAAUAGUAAUGUGUAAGCAUUCACAUGAAUGGACCAAGUGAUUGUCAUGUAAUAGCCCCCAAUAAUAUUUUAAUUCAAUGGCAGUGUUAGGGCAGUUAUAUAUAGAAGCACCAAAACUAAGGCGCUUUUUUGCAAUAUUUCCAAACGUUUCACGCGAAAGACGGCGAAUAGUCUCUUAUCAUACAUAUGUAUUGAAUGCUGAUUAAAUUAAAUUCCAUUGCUAAAAAUUCAAAUUGAUGAAAACAUAUUCAUUUCACAGAUCUAAGGCUGGUAUACUUUAAUUUAGGGUAUUAUAAUUACUUGCGGUAGUAAUCAUGUGUUUAUAAAAUGCUCCGUGGUCCACCUUCCGCCUUUUAUCCGUCCGCUUUCUACACCCUGAAAAAUACGCCCCCGGGGACUUAAUAGAGGAAUUCGGUAUGAAUAAUUACUGUAACAAAAUACAUUGGUGAAUCGCAUUUUAUUACAUUUUUGGAUUAUAUAUAUAUAUACUGCACUAUUACAAACGCUUUUUAACACUCAUUGAUAACUACAUUGCACUUAAAUUAAUUCAAUUAAUAUGAUUAAACUGAUUCUACGAAUUUACAUAUUUCUUACAUGUCAUUAAUUUGUAACUACAUAACAUUAAGCACACCCGUUUUCCAAAUUACAGGACUUGCCUGAAAAUAAUCUUAGUUCAAAUGUCAGAUUUAUGUCACGCGAACUGCGACUGAAAAAUGGCACACAUGAACAAACAUUUUUUAAAUAUUUAUACAUAUACAUAUUUAAUACCUAAAGAAGAGAAACUGUCUCGUGAAUGAAAGUUAAAAGAACAGUUUAAUCAUGUGUCUCAAAUCCGCUUGCGCUAGACUAUAGCGGUAAUAUUAUACUGUAAUCUUAACCCCAAUCUACAUCUUAAUCCAUGCGGUAAUUCUGGUAGAUAUGUGGAAAAAUUCAUUUCGAGAGCGAUUUUGACAACACGGAAGCCAUUAUAGAUGGGAGUGAUGGCGGCAGAAGUUCCUUUUUGAAAUCAAGAAUGGCAGUCAAUGUAGUUUUACGUUCGUUAUUCGUCCGUGGUCUAAAAAACGCCACUUGUUUAAGGUCUCUAAUAUGGAAAGCCAAAGGAACCUCGUUACUUGUGGCCAUCCAAUUGCUCAGAUUUUGGUAAUAAAUAAUUUGUGAGAGAGGGCAAUAAACGCGAAGUUUUAUGCGUACCAGAAGGGUUAAUUACAAUCCGGGACUUAUACGACAGCUGUAACUAUCCAUGAAGCGAAGUGUGAUAUUGUUGUUCAAUAAUUCACCUUCUUUCAUUGUAAAGCCAUAUAUUGUCACCAAAAUACGUGACUACAAGUAUAACUAUAUGCAUGGAAAAUUUAAGACUUCUCAGAUACGGAAAUUGGCUUGACUGGAAUACUUGUUCGCGCUAUUGUUAAGCCAAAUAAAUGCUUUAAAUAUACGCGAAUCGAAUUACAGAACUUAACAUCGGCAGGAAGAUUAGUUUAAAUUGAUUAAAACCUCCAGAAACAGAUCCUUAACUUUUUUCAGUAACAUUAAAUUUCCCGAAUAGUUUUAUUCUGGGUUUUUAUACCUUCGUUCUAUUAUAGGCUAUGCUUGUAUUAUUAUAGAUUAUACAGGUAUGUAAUUUACAUUGUGGUGGGAUUAAAUAUGAAUCUAUUUUUCUAGUUUCUUUUCCUCAACUUCCUGGCACUACUCACAUACAGUCCACUGUUUAGAAGUCGUAGUGACAAUCCGCGGUGAAAAGGCUGGGGAAGAGGGAGGGGUUUCGUUUUAAGUUAAACAUGUCGAAGUUUUUCACUAAACGUGAGAAAAUAUCGCAAACGUUUUGUCAGGGUGAAUUUAAUUAAAUACUAUGCUACUACUAAUAGGUUCCAUCAUUCAUAAAGUUUUAAAAUAUAUUAAUUUAGAGCCAGUUAAUAAUCACAACUGCGCCUUUAGGUGACGCGGUUCAACUCUUUUUAU